UGGGGAAUAUUGCACAAUGGGCGCAAGCCUGAUGCAGCCAUGCCGCGUGUGUGAAGAAGGCCUUCGGGUUGUAAAGCACUUUCAGCGAGGAGGAAGGUGGUGAGCUUAAUACGCUCAUCAAUUGACGUUACUCGCAGAAGAAGCACCGGCUAACUCCGUGCCAGCAGCCGCGGUAAUACGGAGGGUGCAAGCGUUAAUCGGAAUUACUGGGCGUAAAGCGCACGCAGGCGGUUUGUUAAGUCAGAUGUGAAAUCCCCGGGCUCAACCUGGGAACUGCAUUUGAAACUGGCAAGCUAGAGUCUCGUAGAGGGGGGUAGAAUUUCCAGGUGUAGCGGUGAAAUGCGUAGAGAUCUGGAGGAAUACCGGUGGCGAAGGCGGCCCCCCUGGACGAAGACUGACGCUCAGGUGCGAAAGCGUGGGGCAGCAAACAGGAUUAGAUACCCUGGUAGUCCACGCUGUAAACGAUGUCGAUUUGGAGGUUGUGCCCCUUGAGGCGUGGCUUCCGGAGCUAACGCGUUAAAUCGACCGCCUGGGGAGUACGGCC
rnacentral:rRNA from 1 species